UACGUAGGGGGCGAGCGUUGUCCGGAUUUAUUGGGCGUAAAGAGCUCGUAGGCGGUUUGGUAAGUCGGAUGUGAAAUCUCCAGGCUCAACUUGGAGGGGUCAUUCGAUACUGCCAUGACUAGAGUUCGGUAGGGGAGUGUGGAAUACCUGGUGGAGCGGUGAAAUGCGCAGAUAUCAGGAGGAACACCGGUGGCGAAGGCGGGUCUCUGGGCCGAUACUGACGCUGAGGAGCGAAAGCGUGGGGAGCGAACAGG
rnacentral:rRNA from 1 species